CCUACGGGAGGCUGCAGUGGGGAAUAUUGGACAAUGGGGGGAACCCUGAUCCAGCCAUGCCGCGUGUGUGAAGAAGGCCCUCGGGUUGUAAAGCACUUUCAGUGAGGAAGAACGCCUGGUGGUUAAUACCCAUCAGGAAAGACAUCACUCACAGAAGAAGCACCGGCUAACUCCGUGCCAGCAGCCGCGGUAAUACGGAGGGUGCGAGCGUUAAUCGGAAUUACUGGGCGUAAAGCGCGCGUAGGUGGCUUGAUAAGCCGGUUGUGAAAGCCCCGGGCUCAACCUGGGAACGGCAUCCGGAACUGUCAAGCUCGAGUGCAGGAGAGGAAGGUAGAAUUCCCGGGGUAGCGGUGAAAUGCGUAGAGAUCGGGAGGAAUCCCAGUGGCGAAGGCGGCCUUCUGGACUGACACUGACACUGAGGUGCGAAAGCGUGGGUAGCAAACAGGAUUAGAUACCCUUGUAGUC
rnacentral:rRNA from 1 species